rnacentral:rRNA from 1 species
GGGACAACAGUUGGAAACGACUGCUAAUACCGCAUAAGCCCACGGUAUCGCAUGGUACUGAGGGAAAAGGAUUUAUUCGCUUUAGGAUGGACUCGCGUCCAAUUAGCUAGUUGGUGAGGUAACGGCCCACCAAGGCGACGAUUGGUAGCCGGACUGAGAGGUUGAACGGCCACAUUGGGACUGAGACACGGCCCAGACUCCUACGGGAGGCAGCAGUGGGGGAUAUUGCACAAUGGGGGAAACCCUGAUGCAGCGACGCCGCGUGGAGGAAGAAGGUUUUCGGAUUGUAAACUCCUGUCGUUAGGGACGAUAAUGACGGUACCUAACAAGAAAGCACCGGCUAACUACGUGCCAGCAGCCGCGGUAAAACGUAGGGUGCAAGCGUUGUCCGGAAUUACUGGGUGUAAAGGGAGCGCAGGCGGGAAGACAAGUUGGAAGUGAAAACCAUGGGCUCAACCCAUGAAUUGCUUUCAAAACUGUUUUUCUUGAGUAGUGCAGAGGUAGAUGGGAUUCCCGGUGUAGCGGUGGAAUGCGUAGAUAUCGGGAGGAACACCAGUGGCGAAGGCGGUCUACUGGGCACCAACUGACGCUGAGGCUCGAAAGCAUGGGUAGCAAACAGGAUUAGAUACCCUGGUAGUCCAUGCCGUAA